AGUAAUGUGUCUGAUUAAAAGUAAUAAAUUGUAAAUUUAUUUAAAGAAUUAAAAUUCUCUUUACU
rnacentral:tRNA from 1 species